AGUGAACGCUGGCGGUAGGCCUAACACAUGCAAGUCGAACGGCAGCACAGUAAGAGCUUGCUCUUACGGGUGGCGAGUGGCGGACGGGUGAGGAAUACAUCGGAAUCUACUUUUUCGUGGGGGAUAACGUAGGGAAACUUACGCUAAUAUCGCAUACGACCUACGGGUGAAAGCAGGGGAUCUUCGGACCUUGCGCGAUUGAAUGAGCCGAUGUCGGAUUAGCUAGUUGGCGGGGUAAAGGCCCACCAAGGCGACGAUCCGUAGCUUGUCUGAGAGGAUGAUCAGCCACACUGGAACUGAGACACGGUCCAGACCCCUACGGGAGGCAGCAGUGGGGAAUAUUGGACAAUGGGCGCAAGCCUGAUCCAGCCAUACCGAGUGGGUGAAGAAGGCCUUCGGGUUGUAAAGCCCUUUUGUUGGGAAAGAAAAGCAGCAGGUUAAUACCCCGCUGUUCUGACGGUACCCAAAGAAUAAGCACCGGCUAACUUCGUG
rnacentral:rRNA from 1 species